rnacentral:lncRNA from 1 species
GUCAUCGUAUUGGGCGCAUUGGAAGGGACGCGCGAGCGUGCGGGAAUCAUGAUUGGGGGAGGAAUGCCAACGCUAAAAUAUACGCGGUGGUAGGCUGUUUUUUAGCGUUGCUAAAAAGUUGGGGAAGGUUUGGGUGGACUGUUGGAGUUCGUUUUUUCUCCUUUUUUCCCUAAAAAAAGUAUUGGGGUAAGAUUAGCAGCCUCUUGGAGUUGCUCUGAGACAACUUAAUAAAUAAAUCAUACAAUUAGAACGAAAGCAACACAUUAUUAUUUUAUUUACCAAACAAAUAUUUUGGGCAACAUUACUUGUUCACGUACAUACCAUAAUCUCGAGGGUCCCUAGUCCACUUUCUGGAUAAGUGAACUUCAAGGCACAUAUGUUCUCCCAGUCUAUCUCUAUCUUCAUCUUUAAACCUCCGUUGAGUAUCUCCCAAACCAGUCUGCGGUUCGAAUAAUAGAAUUUCGCCACAAGAUCUCCC